AAUGCCUCAAAAUUAGCUGUUACGCAUCAAAAAAAAACCCCAAAACCAAGACAAAGAAUGGAGUAGGCUACCACAAACAUUAACUAAAAGUGUGUAUAACAAGAAAUCUAAAAUAAAUUUAGACCUUUUGGACACGCUAAUGAAGGGCCAAAGAUUACCUUAUCGAAAGACUGAUCUCAGUCAUUGUUUCAAGAUUGUUUUCAUAUUCGAUCUUAGCUACCCAGGGACCAGGUCUGGAAUUCACAUUUCAACCACCCAUGGAAACCAGAGGGAGUGUGAUGGCUUUUGAUGAAAAGCAGCACACUUCUUCAAGCGCUGAAACACCUGGCAUCCAAGAAAUGCCAUCAGCUGUACCUGCUUUCCCAAGACCAGCCCUGAAGCCCUCAUCUGUUCCUUCUCUGGAAAUCACGAGGACAGUGAUGGUUACUCAGAGACCAAAGCUGAAAUCUACUUCUCCUUACCUUGCAAGCCAAAGAACAGUGGAGGCAAGCCAGAGACCAGACCUGGAAUCCACCUCGUCUGCUUCACCGGAAACCACAAGGACUGUGAUGGGUAAAUAGCCAGCAAUUCCCUUCACGUGUUGAUUACUUUGGCAGUGCUUUCCUCUGCAGCGAUGAGCCUGUUCAGGUGUUUUGAUGUCCUGAAAAGUGGGUCCACAAUGCAAUGGGUCCCCUGUUGCUCCGUACUAGGACCUGCUCCAUUUGUAAGCUUUCUCCUGCCUUUUUGGGGGUUCUAGAUUUACUCUGUUACCUCGGGC
rnacentral:lncRNA from 1 species